AAUCCUACGGGGGGCAGCAGUGGGGGAUAUUGCACAAUGGGCGCAAGCCUGAUGCAGCGACGCCGCGUGAGCGAAGAAGUAUUUCGGUAUGUAAAGCUCUAUCAGCAGGGAAGAAAAUGACGGUACCUGACUAAGAAGCUCCGGCUAACUACGUGCCAGCAGCCGCGGUAAUACGUAGGGGGCAAGCGUUAUCCGGAUUUACUGGGUGUAAAGGGAGCGUAGACGGCAGUGCAAGCCUGGAGUGAAAGGCGGGGGCUCAACCCCCGGACUGCUCUGGAAACUGUACGGCUGGAGUGCAGGAGAGG
rnacentral:rRNA from 1 species